GAUGAACGCUGGCGGCGUGCCUAAUACAUGCAAGUCGAGCGAACAGACGAGGAGCUUGCUCCUCUGACGUUAGCGGCGGACGGGUGAGUAACACGUGGAUAACCUACCUAUAAGACUGGGAUAACUUCGGGAAACCGGAGCUAAUACCGGAUAAUAUAUUGAACCGCAUGGUUCAAUAGUGAAAGACGGUUUUGCUGUCACUUAUAGAUGGAUCCGCGCCGCAUUAGCUAGUUGGUAAGGUAACGGCUUACCAAGGCAACGAUGCGUAGCCGACCUGAGAGGGUGAUCGGCCACACUGGAACUGAGACACGGUCCAGACUCCUACGGGAGGCAGCAGUAGGGAAUCCUCCGCAAUGGGCGAAAGCUUGACGGAGCAACGCCGCGUGAGUGAUGAAGGUCUUCGGAUCGUAAAACUCUGUUAUUAGGGAAGAACAAAUGUGUAAGUAACUAUGCACGUCUUGACGGUACCUAAUCAGAAAGCCACGGCUAACUACGUG
rnacentral:rRNA from 1 species